AUUUAAACACCACUUCUCAUUUGAACACUGAAGUUAAGCAACAUUGAGCUUGGCCAGUACCUAGAUGGGUGACUGCAUGGCAAUACCAAGUGCUGUAAG